CUGUGGCACUAUUUUCGCUUGCUUCUUGGUGCGUCUAUAAACAUAAUCCCCCAGCUUGUCAGCGUCCAUGGUUCCCGUCACUGUUGCUUUUCCUGUGCUUAACUCCGUUGAAGCUGUUUGCACUCCUAUAAUACAUAGUAAAAGCUUUUCACCUUAAUCAUGACUAUUAAUUAAAUUUAUUUAACUUCCAUGGCAUUAUUUAAGGGCUAUAAAAAUAAGCAGUCCACUAUUGAGUUAACACAACACAUCAUAUGGAGGAUGAAGGCCACUUUCAUUUGCCAUGGAAAAAGUUAGCACUAACGAUUGAUAGACGUGUACAAUUAGAAAUGUGAUCCACCCAACCCUCCUUUUGGGUCAUUUAGAAAUGCGACCUUUGUGCAAAUUUCCUUUAUCCCUUUUCAGAAACAUAGUCCUUUUUCAUUGUCCAUUUGGAUCAGGUAGAUCAGGUCGCUCCAAUGAGAACCUGUACAUGCAUCCAAAUAACUGCAAUAAAUGCCACCUAAAUAGAAAGCAGGGCCCAACUUAGCUAGUGUGGCAACAUCUGAGUAGGCACGGUUUCCCAGGAAUGUUGGAUUCUUUAUUUUUAUGUCACCUUUCUUGCAGUUGGUCAGUCACACUCAACUUGUUGAGUUGGUUGUUUUCUAACAUUUUCUACUUUUUUCACAUAGGAGUACAACUAAUUAAUAACAAUAAAGAGAUUACAAGAAAUAAACCCUAAAAACGAACAAAGAAGCUUAAUUACCUCUCAUUUUGA
rnacentral:misc_RNA from 1 species